CAUCUUUUCUUGUUAGUUUCUGAAGUAUGGCCUGCCCACUGACUUAGAGUUGAAGGGCCGCGGUAUUUUGACCGUGCAAAGGUAGCAUAAUCAUUAGUUCUUUAAUUGUGAUCUGGUAUGAAUGGCUUGACGAGACAUAAGCUGUCUUAGAAGUAUUGGUUUAUUGAAUUUGGUUUUUGAGUUAAAAUUCUUAAAUGUUUUUAUGGGACGAGAAGACCCUAUAGAGUUUGACAAUUUUCCUAUUUAUUCGUUGUUUGUUUUUAUUUACAUUGAGUGGGAGUGAAUUGUUUUGUUGGGGUGAUGGGAGGAAUAUUGUUUAACUCCUCUUUGUUUUUAUAUAUUUAUGUAUAUAUUUUUGAUCCAUUUAUUUUGAUUAUAAGAUUAAAUUACCUUA
rnacentral:rRNA from 1 species